rnacentral:rRNA from 1 species
GACGAACGCUGGCGGCGUGCUUAACACAUGCAAGUCGAACGGAAACGCACUGCUUGCAGGGUAUUCGAGUGGCCAACGGGCGAGUAAGACGUGGGUGCUUUGCCACGUACUUCGGCAUAAGCCUGGACAACUGGGAACUAUCGCGGAUAUGACCUUCCACGUAGUGUGGGGGGCGGAAGGACUUCUCGGCGUGGGAUGAGCCCGCGGCCUAUCAGCUUGUUGGUGGGGUAAUGGCCUACCACGCCAGCGACGGGUAGCCGGCCUUUGAGGGUGGACGGGCACAUGGGGACUGAGGGACGGCCCAGACGGCAAUGGGGGGCAGCAGGGGGGAAUAUGGUACAAUGGGCGGAAGCCGUAGGCGGCGACGCCGGGUUUGUGAUGACGGCCUGUUGGGUGUAAACCGCAGUCGGCAAGGACGAAGCUGCGGUGACGGUACCUGUAGAAUAAGCACCGGCCAACUACGUG